AAGGAUGCUAUAAAGGCCAGAUG
rnacentral:piRNA from 1 species